GGAGUGGCAGACGGGUGAGUAACAUCUAGGAACGUACCCUUGAGUACGGGAUAACAUCUGGAAACGGAAGCUAAUACCGUAUAUCCCGGAGACGGGAAAGGUUUACCGCUUGAGGAGCGGCCUAGAUCAGAUUAGGUAGUUGGUAAGGUAAGAGCUUACCAAGCCUGUGAUCUGUAGCUGAUUUGAGAGGAUGAUCAGCCACACUGGGACUGAGAACGGCCCAGACUCCUACGGGAGGCAGCAGUGGGGAAUAUUGGACAAUGGGGGAAACCCUGAUCCAGCAAUGCCGCGUGAGUGAAGAAGGACUUCGGUUUGUAAAACUCUUUUAUAGGGGAAGAUGAUGACGGUACCCUAUGAAUAAGCUCCGGCUAACUUCGUGCCAGCAGCCGCGGUAAUACGAAGGGAGCUAGCGUUGUUCGGAAUUACUGGGCGUAAAGGGCGUGUAGGCGGAUAUUCGCGUGAGAUGUGAAAUCCCUGGGCUUAACCUAGGAAUGGCAUUUCAUACGGGAUAUCUAGAGUGCGAGAGGGGGAAGCGGAAUGGCCAGUGUAGCAGUGAAAUGCGUUGAUAUUGGCUAGAACACCAGAGGCGAAGGCGGCUUUCUGGCUCGCAACUGACGCUGAGGCGCGAAAGCGUGGGGAGCAAACAGGAUUAGAUACCCUGGUAGUCCACGCUGUAAACGAUGUGUGCUAGAUGUUGUGUAGAUUGCUACGCAGUGUCGGAGCUAACGCGAUAAGCACACCGCCUGGGGAGUACGGUCGCAAGAUUAAAACUCAAAGGAAUUGACGGGGGCCCGCACAAGCGGUGGAGUAUGUGGUUUAAUUCGAGGCUACGCGAAGAACCUUACCAGUUCUUGACAUGUUGGUCAUAGGCUUUGUAACGAAGCUGUCAGUUCGGCUGGACCAAACACAGGUGCUGCAUGGUUGUCGUCAGUUCGUGUCGUGAGAUGUUAGGUUAAGUCCUGCAACGAACGCAACCCCUGCUGUUAGUUACUAACUUGUAAAGAAGAGGACACUAAUGGUACUGCCGGUGCAAGCUGGAGGAAGGUGGGGAUGACGUCAAAUCAUCAUGGCCCUUAUGGGCUGGGCUACACACGUACUACAAUGGUGGUGACAACGCGAAGCGAAGGCGCAAGCUGGAGCUAACCGUCAAAAGCCAUCUCAGUCCGGAUUGUCCUCUGCAACUCGAGGGCAUGAAGUUGGAAUCGCUAGUAAUCGCAGAUCAGCAUGCUGCGGUGAAUACGUUCCCGGGCCUUGUACACACUGCCCGUCACGUCAUGGAAGUUGGUUCUGCCUUAAGGCGGUAAGCUAACCUUUGGGAGGCUGCCGACCACGGCAGGGUCGAUGACUGGGACGAAGUCGCAACAAGGUA
rnacentral:rRNA from 1 species